GAUGAACGCUGGCGGCGUGCCUAAUACAUGCAAGUCGAGCGAACGGACGAGAAGCUUGCUUCUCUGAUGUUAGCGGCGGACGGGUGAGUAACACGUGGAUAACCUACCUAUAAGACUGGGAUAACUUCGGGAAACCGUAGCUAAUACCGGAUAAUAUUUUGAACCGCAUGGUUCAAAAGUGAAAGACGGUCUUGCUGUCACUUAUAGAUGGAUCCGCGCUGCAUUAGCUAGUUGGUAAGGUAACGGCUUACCAAGGCAACGAUGCAUAGCCGACCUGAGAGGGGAAUCGCCCCACCGGAAACGAGAACACGGCCCGACCCCCACGGGGGGGAGGAGGAGGGGAAUCUUCCGAAAGGGGGGAAGGCUGACGGAGGAAAGGCCGGGGAGGGAAUGAGGGUUUUGGGAUGGAAAACCUUUUUUAUUGGGAAAAAAAAUAUGGGAAAGAAACUUGCCACAUUUGACGGGACCCAAAUAAAAAACCCCGGCUAAACUCGUG
rnacentral:rRNA from 1 species